rnacentral:rRNA from 1 species
GGCGGCAGGCCUWACACAUGCAAGUCGAACGGUAACAGGAAGCAGCUUGCUGCUUUGCUGACGAGUGGCGGACGGGUGAGUAAUGUCUGGGAAACUGCYUGAUGGAGGGGGAUAACUACUGGAAACGGUAGCUAAUACCGCAUAACGUCGCAAGACCAAAGAGGGGGACCUUCGGGCCUCUUGCCAUCGGAUGUGCCCAGAUGGGAUUAGCUAGUAGGUGGGGUAACGGCUCACCUAGGCGACGAUCCCUAGCUGGUCUGAGAGGAUGACCAGCCACACUGGAACUGAGACACGGUCCAGACUCCUACGGGAGGCAGCAGUGGGGAAUAUUGCACAAUGGGCGCAAGCCUGAUGCAGCCAUGCCGCGUGUAUGAAGAAGGCCUUCGGGUUGUAAAGUACUUUCAGCGGGGAGGAAGGCG